GCCGGAGUGGUGGAAUUGGUAGACACACCAUCUUGAGGGGGUGGCGCCUAACCUAUGGGUGUGCCGGUUCGAGUCCGGCCUUCGGCA
rnacentral:tRNA from 1 species